CUUGAAAAAGGGAGUUCAAGAAGAGCUUCGAAGAAGCUUUCUUGAUGGAGGGGAGUGGCAGACGGGUGAGUAACGCGUGGGAACAUACCCUUAUCUUCGGAACAACUCCGGGAAACUGGAGCUAAUACCGAAUGUGCCCUUAGGGGGAAAGAUUUAUCGGAUAAGGAUUGGCCCGCGUUGGAUUAGCUAGUUGGUGGGGUAAAGGCCUACCAAGGCGACGAUCCAUAGCUGGUCUGAGAGGAUGAUCAGCCACAUUGGGACUGAGACACGGCCCAAACUCCUACGGGAGGCAGCAGUGGGGAAUAUUGGACAAUGGGCGCAAGCCUGAUCCAGCCAUGCCGCGUGUGUGAUGAAGGCCUUAGGGUUGUAAAGCGCUUUCGCCGAUGAAGAUAAUGACUGUAGUCGGAGAAGAAGCCCCGGCUAACUUCGUGCCAGCCGCCGCGGUAAAAC
rnacentral:rRNA from 1 species